rnacentral:rRNA from 1 species
GGGAGGGGAUUAAAGGUGGCUUUUGGGCUGUCGCAGAUGGAUGAGCCUGCGUUGGAUUAGCUAGUUGGUGGGGUAAGGGCCUACCAAGGCUACGAUCCAUAGCUGAUUUGAGAGGAUGAUCAGCCACAUUGGGACUGAGACACGGCCCAAACUCCUACGGGAGGCAGCAGUGAGGAAUAUUGGACAAUGGGGGCAACCCUGAUCCAGCAAUGCCAUGUGUGUGAAGAAGGCCUUAGGGUUGUAAAGCACUUUAGUUGGGGAAGAAAGCUUUGAGGUUAAUAGCCUUGAGGAAGGACGUUACCCAAAGAAUAAGCACCGGCUAACUCCGUGCCAGCAGCCGCGGUAAUACGGGGGGUGCAAGCGUUAAUCGGAAUUACUGGGCGUAAAGGGUCUGUAGGUGGUUUGUUAAGUCAGAUGUGAAAGCCCAGGGCUCAACCUUGGAACUGCAUUUGAUACUGGCAAACUAGAGUACGGUAGAGGAAUGGGGAAUUUCUGGUGUAGCGGUGAAAUGCGUAGAGAUCAGAAGGAACACCAAUGGCGAAGGCAACAUUCUGGACCGAUACUGACACUGAGGGACGAAAGCGUGGGGAUCAAACAGGAUUAGAUACCCUGGUAGUCCAUGCUGUAAACGAUGAGUACUAGCUGUUGGAGUCGGUGUAAAGGCUCUAGUGGCGCAGCUAACGCGAUAAGUACUCCGCCUGGGGACUACGGCCGCAAGGCUAAAACUCAAAGGAAUUGACGGGGACCCGCACAAGCGGUGGAGCAUGUGGUUUAAUUCGAUGCAACGCGAAGAACCUUACCUGGUCUUGACAUCCUGCGAGCUUUCUAGAGAUAGAUUGGUGCCUUCGGGAACGCAGUGACAGGUGCUGCACGGCUGUUGUCAGCUCGUGUUGUGAAAUGUUGGGUAAAGUCCCGCAA